CGGGAGCGCUAAACAACUCCGGAUCAGAAAGAAAGAAUAUAUAUAUAGAGAGAAGAGACAAGGAAGGAGUGGAUAGACAUACAUUUGGGUCUCUAAGGCUGGUAAAAAGGAACCAGAUCGCUUGGUGACUGGAUUUGGUCCCCUUCAACCAGCUGUAGAGGCACAUGAAAGCUGCAUUGGAAAGUUUGGUCUCGUUCCAUGUAUCUCCACAUGCCAAAAUUGUUUUAUUUCAUUGUUUUAAUUUUAUUUUACACUCAGCCCUCCAUAUCCACUGCUUCUUUAUCCACGACUUCAGCUUGAAAAUAUAUGAAUUCCAAAAAGCAAGCCUUCAUUUUGUUAUUUUAUAUCAGGGACCUGUUUUUACUAUGCCACUAGAUAUAAUGAGAUGCUGUUAUGAAGGUUUUCCUAAGCAAGGAAGGCUCAGAGGUAGCAUUGCCAGUUCCUUCCUCUGAGACAGAGCCUCUCAACCACACAAGGGUUUCCAGAGGCAGGGGAUGGCUGAGUUGCUAAUCUGGACACCUCUCAGAGUUCAGGGUCUCAGCCGUUGGAAAAUGAUUCCCCAACCAUCCAAGACAGGGAAGAACGCAAUGCCAAUAUGAAUCACUCCCAAAGAAUCCAGACAGAACCCCCGGAGAUGGGCACAUUUAAUCCCAAUUCACCCAUCAUCUUACAGGAUUUAGACAAUGAUGGAACGGAAGCUAUGUAUUAUCCAUCGUCCUGUUCAGAGAGCACCCAAGAUGAAUGUGGUCUGAUCCCUUACGAAGGCUCUCCUUUGUCAUCACAGGAGAUGAAAUCACAUCUACACAGUCUGUGCAAACAGUUCUCCCAUUCCCCCGGUAUAAUGCCAUUGGUUAUAGCAGACACCGUCGCCCAGAACUAUCUGGACAUCUUUAUAUAGCAUGUCUUGGAAGCAGACGACACGGAGUGUCUUGGCCUACAGAUGGGUGUGCUAAAGUCAUCAAAAUGCAAUGUGGAUAAGAUGGUAUGCCUCUUGAUUUGCAUGAUUCGUGGGGGACCUUGCGCUUUCCCUGUUGAGGCAGGGAAAGAGUCUGGGAUUAAGAUAAGGGCACUCAGUUUCCUUGCAAUAAUUAUCCAUUUCGUGGACCAGACAGAAAAGUUAGACAAAUGGAUCCCUGACUUUCAUGCCAUCUUUUCAAAUUUCAUCGCAGAGGACAUCCUUACACCUCGGUGGCCAUAUGACAUAACUUGGGUCGAAAUGUCACUAAAGCAAGCAGCCAGUGUCAUUAAGGUCAUGAAUAUGAGAUGGAACGUGCUCACCUCCGUCUUCUUGAACAAUUGUGCCUUUCAUUAGGCAAACAAUCCCACCAUGGGACUGAAAGACCAUCACCUCUGGUUCCCAAAUGGUUCUAUUGUGUUUGUUUUAAAUCAGUAUUGUAUUUGGUAUUGCAGUACUGCAUUGCUGCAUCUUUUGUUAUUAUUGUACUGGUUUGAUACUAUGGUAUGAUACUAUGGUAUUUUUUAUUAAUGUAAAUAUUGCUCUCUAGAUCGGUUUAUGGCUAGCCAAGUAAAAAACAACAACAAUUGCUUUCUCUGAUCUUGUCCACGCAAAUAAACCCCCCAUGGGACUGAAAGGCCAUCACUUCCGGCUGAUGCCAUGACCCCAAAGGGAAAUCCAGGAUUGCAAGCUGCCAGAGGGAACUCUAGCCCCUGCUGAGUAGAGAGGUCACCUCUUAGGACUCUCUUCUGUUGUAUUUGGGGGAGGAGAAAGAUGCCAUCGCAUGUAAAGAUGUACAGUUGUCCCUCCGAAUUUAUGGGGUAACCGUUCGUUCCAAAGCUGCCAGUUCGGAGGGACGACUGUAUUUUGGAGCAGUGUGUACUCUGCUGCCUCAUCCUUGAGUCCAGAAUAUUUCUCUUUUUUUCAUAGCCUCCCACCCAAAAUACACAGAAGCAUUCAUAACAAGGAAGAUGAUGAGUAACAAAUGUACGGCGGGCCCUACUAUGAGGCUGGCUUUCAGAGAGCAUGCAGAACCAGUUCUGAUGCCAGAGAGAGGAUGAAGCAGAGGCAGGGGCAGAGACUCAUCCACCUCUUGCCCUUGGCCUGUCUGCAUGUUCUCCUCUGUCCUGUCCUUGCGACCCCUUGGCAACACGGACUGGCGUGGGGACACCAGGAGGGCAAGAAAACCAGUCACCCCUGGCUAGGAAGGGAGGAUGCCACCGUGCCAACGGUGUUGCAACACAAGCUGAGGAGUGGGGGGCGGUUGGAAAGGAGAAUUUAAAGGAGACGGGUCCCCACCCCAAGGACUAUGUGGGAAAUUUUCCUCUACCAUCAGCUCCCCAAAUGGCCAACAUCUUAGGGUUCAGGGGAGGUUUUUUUUUUAAACUGAGGUUGGCACCCAAAACCUACAACCCCCCAAAAGUGCACCUGCUAGAAGACCAGUCUGGAGACAUUUUACUAUUGUGUUUUUUAAAUUAUUAUUUAUUUUCUAUUGUAUUGCUGCAUUCUGUGUCUUUGGUUAUA